AUUAAAUUGACAGAAAAUUGUGUUAUAUUUAGAAUAUAAUAAUGGAAUUUAUUUCCAUUUAAUA
rnacentral:tRNA from 1 species